AUUGAACGCUGGCGGCAGGCCUAACACAUGCAAGUCGAGCGGUAGAGAGGUGCUUGCAUCUCUUGAGAGCGGCGGACGGGUGAGUAAUGCCUAGGAAUCUGCCUAGUGGUGGGGGAUAACGUUCGGAAACGGACGCUAAUACCGCAUACGUCCUACGGGAGAAAGCGGGGGAUCUUCGGACCUCGCGCCAUUAGAUGGGCCUAGGUCGGAUUAGCUAGUUGGUGAGGUAAUGGCUCACCAAGGCGACGAUCCGUAACUGGUCUGAGAGGAUGAUCAGUCACACUGGAACUGAGACACGGUCCAGACUCCUACGGGAGGCAGCAGUGGGGAAUAUUGGACAAUGGGCGAAGGCCUGAUCCAGCCAUGCCGCGUGUGUGAAGAAGGUCUUCGGAUUGUAAAGCACUUAAGUUGGGUAGGAAGGGUAGUAACCUAAUACGUUGCUACUUUGACGUUACCGACAGAAUAAGCACCGGCUAAACUUCGUGCCAGCAGCCGACGG
rnacentral:rRNA from 1 species